rnacentral:miRNA from 1 species
GCUUUCCUACUGUUUCCCUG